UACGAAGGGGGCUAGCGUUGCUCGGAAUCACUGGGCGUAAAGCGCACGUAGGCGGAUUGUUAAGUCGGGGGUGAAAUCCUGAGGCUCAACCUCAGAACUGCCUUCGAUACUGAGAGUCUUGGAGUCCGGGAGAGGUGAGUGGAACUGCGAGUGUAGAGGUGAAAUUCGUAGAUAUUCGCAAGAACACAGUGGCGAAGGCGGCUCACUGGCCCGGUACUGACGCUGAGGUGCGAAGCGUGGGAGCAAACAGGAUUAGAAACCCCAGU
rnacentral:rRNA from 1 species